rnacentral:rRNA from 1 species
UACGUAGGGGGCAAGCGUUGUCCGGAAUCAUUGGGCGUAAAGCGCGCGUAGGCGGCCCGGUAAGUCCGUUGUGAAAGUCAAAGGCUCAACCUUUGAACGCCGAUGGAUACUGCCGAGCUAGGGUCCGGAAGAGGCGAGUGGAAUUCCUGGUGUAGCGGUGGAAUGCGCAGAUAUCAGGAGGAACACCAAUAGCGAAGGCAGCUCGCUGGGACGGUACUGACGCUGAGGCGCGAAAGCGUGGGGAGCGAACAGG